rnacentral:rRNA from 1 species
GUAGUUAGCCGGGGCUUCCUCCUUGAGUACCGUCACUUCCUUCGUCCUCAAGGACAGAGGUUUACAACCCGAAAGCCUUCUUCCCUCACGCGGCGUUGCUGGGUCAGGCUUGCGCCCAUUGCCCAAUAUUCCCCACUGCUGCCUCCCGUAGGAGUCUGGACCGUGUCUCAGUUCCAGUGUGGCCGAUCAGCCUCUCAGCUCGGCUACCCAUCGUCGACUUGGUGGGCCGUUACCCCGCCAACUAUCUAAUGGGACGCGAGCCCCUCCCUCUGCGGAUUGCUCCUUUGGCUGCAUGAGGAUGUCCUCUCGCAGCUUCAUACGGUAUUAGCAACUGUUUCCAAUUGUUAUCCCGUUCAGAGGGUCAGGUUGCUCACGCGUUACUCACCCGUUCGCCACUAAGUACAAAACCGAAAUCUUGCACUCCGUUCGACUUGCAUGUGUUAGGCACGCCGCCAGCGUUCAUCCUGAGCCAGAAUCAAACUCUGA